GACGAACGCUGGCGGCGUGCUUAACACAUGCAAGUCGAACGGAAAGGCCCUGCUUUUGUGGGGUGCUCGAGUGGCGAACGGGUGAGUAACACGUGAGUAACCUGCCCUUGACUUUGGGAUAACUUCAGGAAACUGGGGCUAAUACCGGAUAGGAGCUCCUGCUGCAUGGGGGGGGUUGGAAAGUUUCGGCGGUUGGGGAUGGACUCGCGGCUUAUCAGCUAGUUGGUGGGGUAGUGGCUUACCAAGGCUUUGACGGGUAGCCGGCAUGAGAGGGUGACCGGCGACAUGAGGACUGAGAUACGGCGCAGACUCGUAUGGGAGGCAGCAGUGGGGAAUAUUGCACAGUGGGCGGAAGCGUGAUGCAGAAACGCCGCGUGCGGGAUGCCGGCCUUCGGGUUGUAAACCGCUUUCGCCUGUGACGAAGCGUGAGUGACGGUAAUGGGUAAAGAAGCACCGGCUAACUACGUG
rnacentral:rRNA from 1 species